rnacentral:rRNA from 1 species
GAUGAACGCUAGCUACAGGCUUAACACAUGCAAGUCGCAGGGUAACAUGAGGAAAGCUUGCUUUCCUUGAUGACGACUGGCGCACGGGUGAGUAACGCGUAUCCAACCUUCCCAUAACUACGGGAUAACCCGUUGAAAGACGGCCUAAUACCGUAUGAUAUCGUUUGCUGACAUCAAAUAACGAUUAAAGGUUUAGCGGUUAUGGAUGGGGAUGCGUCUGAUUAGCUUGUUGGCGGGGUAACGGCCCACCAAGGCGACGAUCAGUAGGGGUUCUGAGAGGAAGGUCCCCCACAUUGGAACUGAGACACGGUCCAAACUCCUACGGGAGGCAGCAGUGAGGGAUAUUGGUCAAUGGGCGAGAGCCUGAACCAGCCAAGUAGCGUGCAGGACGACGGCCCUAUGGGUUGUAAACUGCUUUUAUGUGGGGAUAAAGUGCGUGACGUGUCAUGCAUUGCAGGUACCACAUGAAUAAGGACCGGCUAAUUCCGUG